GACGUAGGGGACGAGCGUUGUCCGGAUUUAUUGGGCGUAAAGCGCGCGUAGGCGGUUUGGUAAGUCGGAUGUGAAAUCCCGUGGCUCAACCACGGGACUGCAUCCGAUACUGCCCGACUAGAGGUAGGUAGGGGAGAUCGGAAUUCCUGGUGUAGCGGUGAAAUGCGUAGAUAUAGGAAGGAAUACCAGUGGCGAAGGCGGCCUCCUGGAUCGACACUGACGCUGAGGCGCGAAAGCGUGGGGAGCAAACAGG
rnacentral:rRNA from 1 species